rnacentral:rRNA from 1 species
GGGGGGGGGGGGGGGGGGGCGGGGGGGUGCGGGGCGGACGGGGCCUGCGGGGCUGGUGGCGCGCGGGUGCGUGGCGCGGGGGAACCUGCCCUUAGGUUCGGAAUAACUCCCCGCAAGGGGUGCUAAUACCGGCUAAUGUCUUCGGACCAAAGAUUUAUCGCCUUUGGAUGGGCCCGCGUUGGAUUAGCUAGUUGGUAGGGUAAAAGCCUACCAAGGCGACGAUCCAUAGCUGGUCUGAGAGGAUGAUCAGCCACACUGGGACUGAGACACGGCCCAGACGCCUACGGGAGGCAGCAGGGGGGAAUAUUGGACAAUGGGCGAAAGCCUGAUCCAGCAAUGCCGCGUGAGUGAUGAAGGCCUUAGGGUUGUAAAGCUCUUUUACCCGGGAUGAUAAUGACAGUACCGGGAGAAUAAGCUCCGGCUAACUCCGUG